GCAUGGGGGGGCCAGAAGUCAUUUAAAAUAAAAAUAAAGACUCAGUCACUCUUAUUAAAGAUGGCAAAUGAUGGCUAAUACAAAAACUUAAAACAUUUACUAUUCAAAAUUCCCACAACUAAGUAAGUGAUAUUUUAAGAAUGUUCCAUUUGUGCUUCUGAAUUUAUUAAAGCUUAAAAGUGCUCUGGGCUGGCUGUGGUGGCUCACACCUGAACAGGCAGUUCCAGACCAGCCUGACCAACAUGCCAGUAAUGGGAGUAGCAGGGGAGCCCUUGGGCAGGGCCAUCCAGUAGUGAUGCACCCAGCUUUGGUGGCCUACUAUAAAGUGGCUCACCUGCUCUAGUGACAGUGUCACCUGUGACACUCACUGUGACAUAAUCUGAAGGGCUCUGAACCCA
rnacentral:lncRNA from 1 species